ACGCUCGACACCUACGGGGCAGCAGUGGGGAAUAUUGCACAAUGGGGGAAACCCUGAUGCAGCGACGCCGCGUGAGCGAAGAAGUAUUUCGGUAUGUAAAGCUCUAUCAGCAGGGAAGAAACUGACGGUACCUGACUAAGAAGCACCGGCUAAAUACGUGCCAGCAGCCGCGGUAAUCUGAGGCGGGCUGGCAAGGC
rnacentral:rRNA from 1 species